CUUUCUGACAGGUAUAUAGGGGAUAUUCCUCUUUCCUCAUUGUAACAAGCAAGAGACUAACCUGAAAUACAGGUAGUGGUAGUCUAGUGCACUCACUAUAAAAUCAGGCAGUCACAGGUAGUGGUAGUCUAGUGCACUCAAUAUAAAAUCAGGCAGUCACAGGUAGUGGUAGUCUAGUGCACUCACUAUAAAAUCAGGUAGUGGUAGUCUAGUGCACUCACUAUAAAAUCAGGCAGUCACAGGUAGUGGUAGUCUAGUGCACUCACUAUAAAAUCAGGCAGUCACAGGUAGUGUUUGUCUAGUGCACUCAAUAUAAAAUCAGGCAGUCACAGGUAGUGUUUGUCUAGCGCACUCACUAUAAAAUCAGGCAGUCACAGGUAGUGUUUGUCUAGUGCACUCAAUAUAAAAUCAGGCAGUCACAGGUAGUGGUAGUCUACUGCACUCACUAUAAAAUCAGGCAGUUACAGGAAGUGGUAGUCUAGUGUACUCACUAUAAAAUCAGGUAGUGUUAGUCUACUGCACUCACUAUAAAAUCAGUUAGUGGUAGUCUACUGCACUCACUAUAAAAUCAGACAGUCACAGGUAGUGUUUGUCUAGUGCACUCACUAUA